AUUGAACGCUGGCGGCAGGCUUAACACAUGCAAGUCGGGCGAGUGGCGGACGGGUGAGUAAUGUAUGGGGACCUGCCUGAUGGCGGGGGAUAACUACUGGAAACGGUAGCUAAUACCGCAUACUAUUAGAUGAACCCAUAUGGGAUUAGCUUGUAGGUGGGGUAAAGGCUCACCAAGGCGACGACCCCUAGCUGGUCUGAGAGGAUGAUCAGCCACACUGGGACUGAGACACGGCCCAGACUCCUACGGGAGGCAGCAGUGGGGAAUAUUGCACAAUGGGCGAAAGCCUGAUGCAGCCAUCCCGCGUGUAUGAAGAAGGCCUUCGGGUUGUAAAGUACUUUCAGUCGGGAGGCGGUACCUGCAGAAUAAGCACCGGCUAACUCCGUGCCAGCAGCCGCGGUAAUAC
rnacentral:rRNA from 1 species